rnacentral:lncRNA from 1 species
GGGUUGCUAUAGGGUUCUGGUCUAAAGUAGUUCACUACUUAGGGAAUGGGGUUGCCAUAGGGUUCUGGUCUAAAGUGGUGCACUACUUAGGGAAUGGGGUUGCCAUAGGGUUCUGGUCUAAAGUAGUGCACUACUUAGGGAAUGGGGUUGCCAUAGGGUCCUGGUCUAAAGUAGUGCACUACUUAGGGAAUGGGGCUGCCAUAGGGUUCUGGUCUACAUACGGAAUGGGGUUGCCAUAGGGUUCUGGUCUAAAGUAGUGCACUACUUAGGGAAUGGGGUUGCCAUAGGGUCCUGGUCUAAAGUAGUGCACUACUUAGGGAAUGGGGUUGCCAUAGGGUCCUGGUCUAAAGUAGUGCACUACUUAGGGAAUGGGGUUGCCAUAGGGUCCUGGUCUAAAGUGGUGCACUACGUAGGGAAUGAGGUUGCCAUAGGGUCCUGGUCUAAAGUGGUGCACUACUUAGGGAAUGGGGUUGCCAUAGGGUUCUGGUCUAAAGUAGUGCACUACGUAGGGAAUGGGGUUGCCAUAGGGUUCUGGUCUAAAGUGGUGCACUACUUAGGGAAUGGGGUUGCCAUAGGGUCCUGGUCUAAAGUGGUGCACUACUUAGGG